AUCUAGCCAUGGGCAGGUUGAAGGUUGGGUAACACUAACUGGAGGACCGAACCGACUAAUGUUGAAAAAUUAGCGGAUGACUUGUGGCUGGGGGUGAAAGGCCAAUCAAACCGGGAGAUAGCUGGUUCUCCCCGAAAGCUAUUUAGGUAGCGCCUCGUGAAUUCAUCUCCGGGGGUAGAGCACUGUUUCGGCAAGGGGGUCAUCCCGACUUACCAACCCGAUGCAAACUGCGAAUACCGGAGAAUGUUAUCACGGGAGACACACGGCGGGUGCUAACGUCCGUCGUGAAGAGGGAAACAACCCAGACCGCCAGCUAAGGUCCCAAAGUCAUGGUUAAGUGGGAAACGAUGUGGGAAGGCCCAGACAGCCAGGAUGUUGGCUUAGAAGCAGCCAUCAUUUAAAGAAAGCGUAAUAGCUCACUGGUCGAGUCGGCCUGCGCGGAAGAUGUAACGGGGCUAAACCAUGCACCGAAGCUGCGGCAGCGACACUAUGUGUUGUUGGGUAGGGGAGCGUUCUGUAAGCCUGUGAAGGUGGCCUGUGAGGGUUGCUGGAGGUAUCAGAAGUGCGAAUGCUGACAUAAGUAACGAUAAAGCGGGUGAAAAGCCCGCUCGCCGGAAGACCAAGGGUUCCUGUCCAACGUUAAUCGGGGCAGGGUGAGUCGACCCCUAAGGCGAGGCCGAAAGGCGUAGUCGAUGGGAAACAGGUUAAUAUUCCUGUACUUGGUGUUACUGCGAAGGGGGGACGGAGAAGGCUAUGUUGGCCGGGCGACGGUUGUCCCGGUUUAAGCGUGUAGGCUGGUUUUCCAGGCAAAUCCGGAAAACCAAGGCUGAGGCGUGAUGACGAGGCACUACGGUGCUGAAGCGACAAAUGCCCUGCUUCCAGGAAAAGCCUCUAAGCAUCAGGUAACAUCAAAUCGUACCCCAAACCGACACAGGUGGUCAGGUAGAGAAUACCAAGGCGCUUGAGAGAACUCGGGUGAAGGAACUAGGCAAAAUGGUGCCGUAACUUCGGGAGAAGGCACGCUGAUAUGUAGGUGAAGCGACUUGCUCGUGGAGCUGAAAUCAGUCGAAGAUACCAGCUGGCUGCAACUGUUUAUUAAAAACACAGCACUGUGCAAACACGAAAGUGGACGUAUACGGUGUGACGCCUGCCCGGUGCCGGAAGGUUAAUUGAUGGGGUUAGCGGUAACGCGAAGCUCUUGAUCGAAGCCCCGGUAAACGGCGGCCGUAACUAUAACGGUCCUAAGGUAGCGAAAUUCCUUGUCGGGUAAGUUCCGACCUGCACGAAUGGCGUAAUGAUGGCCAGGCUGUCUCCACCCGAGACUCAGUGAAAUUGAACUCGCUGUGAAGAUGCAGUGUACCCGCGGCAAGACGGAAAGACCCCGUGAACCUUUACUAUAGCUUGACACUGAACAUUGAGCCUUGAUGUGUAGGAUAGGUGGGAGGCUUUGAAGUGUGGACGCCAGUCUGCAUGGAGCCGACCUUGAAAUACCACCCUUUAAUGUUUGAUGUUCUAACGUUGGCCCGUAAUCCGGGUUGCGGACAGUGUCUGGUGGGUAGUUUGACUGGGGCGGUCUCCUCCUAAAGAGUAACGGAGGAGCACGAAGGUUGGCUAAUCCUGGUCGGACAUCAGGAGGUUAGUGCAAUGGCAUAAGCCAGCUUGACUGCGAGCGUGACGGCGCGAGCAGGUGCGAAAGCAGGUCAUAGUGAUCCGGUGGUUCUGAAUGGAAGGGCCAUCGCUCAACGGAUAAAAGGUACUCCGGGGAUAACAGGCUGAUACCGCCCAAGAGUUCAUAUCGACGGCGGUGUUUGGCACCUCGAUGUCGGCUCAUCACAUCCUGGGGCUGAAGUAGGUCCCAAGGGUAUGGCUGUUCGCCAUUUAAAGUGGUACGCGAGCUGGGUUUAGAACGUCGUGAGACAGUUCGGUCCCUAUCUGCCGUGGGCGCUGGAGAACUGAGGGGGGCUGCUCCUAGUACGAGAGGACCGGAGUGGACGCAUCACUGGUGUUCGGGUUGUCAUGCCAAUGGCACUGCCCGGUAGCUAAAUGCGGAAGAGAUAAGUGCUGAAAGCAUCUAAGCACGAAACUUGC
rnacentral:rRNA from 1 species